rnacentral:rRNA from 1 species
UGCGAACGCUGGCGGCAGGCCUAACACAUGCAAGUCGAGCGGGCGUCGCAAGACGUCAGCGGCAGACGGGAGAGUAACACGUGGGAACGUACCCUUCGGUUCGGAAUAACCCAGGGAAACUUGGGCUAAUACCGGAUACGUCCGUAAGGAGAAAGAUUUAUCGCCGAAGGAUCGGCCCGCGUCCGAUUAGCUAGUUGGUGGGGUAAUGGCCCACCAAGGCGACGAUCGGUAGCUGGUCUGAGAGGAUGAUCAGCCUCACUGGGACUGAGACACGGCCCAGACUCCUACGGGAGGCAGCAGUGGGGAAUAUUGGACAAUGGGGGCAACCCUGAUCCAGCCAUGCCGCGUGAGUGAUGAAGGCCUUAGGGUUGUAAAGCUCUUUUACCCGGGACGAUAAUGACUGUACCGGGAGAAUAAGCCCCGGCUAACUUCGUGCCAGCCGCCGCAGUAA